AUGAAUUGGGGUGCCUCUUUUGUUCCUUUUGUUGAACAACUGGAACGCAUGCUUUCCGUCUUCAAGUCUGAGAGUAGUGUCUUUUUCGUGGAAAUUCCAUUUUGUGCAAAUUGAGUGAUUUUGUGGUAAAACCCUUGUACCAAUUAACAUACUCCAAAGUCCAAGUGUUUUUUUCUUUUUCUGGUAGAACCCUUAGAUUUUUUCAUCUUUAA
rnacentral:lncRNA from 1 species